UUCACAGGAGAAGAGUCCGGCUGCUGAACUGGGCUGCCUGCAGUCCAGACAUUUUACCAAUAUAAAACAUUUGUAAAGUCAUGAAAGCAAAAAUCCACCAUGAAGGUCCAGAACUGUUAGCUGCUAGACUCCUGCAUCAGACCAGAAUGGGGCAACAUUCCUCACUUAAACCUCCAGUAACUGGUCUCCUCACCUCCCAGAUGUUUACUGACAGAUGUUAAAAGAAGAGAUGAAGCUACUCAAUGU